AGCGCAGGCGGUCUUUUAAGUCUAAUGUGAAAGCCUUUGGCUCAACCGAAGAAGUGCAUUGGAAACUGGGAGACUUGAGUGCAGAAGAGGACAGUGGAACUCCAUGUGUAGCGGUGAAAUGCGUAGAUAUAUGGAAGAACACCAGUGGCGAAGGCGGCUGUCUGGUCUGCAACUGACGCUGAGGCUCGAAAGCAUGGGUAGCGAACA
rnacentral:rRNA from 1 species